rnacentral:misc_RNA from 1 species
GCAGCCGCGUCGCAUCGUGCUUUUGAAUGACAAAACGUCGCGCCUUGGCCGGCGCCACAGGGGUACGGCCGCUCGGCUCCGCCGUCUUGGUGAAAUCACGUUUUGUUCGGUAAACCUUAAGUUUCUUUUGGGCCACGGCGAGGCAUUCCCAACGGUGCAAUAAACGCGGAACAAUUGUAUCAUGCGCCAUCAGGCGGGAGUUCAGGAACCAAAACCUGCGGCUCCUGUUGGGGGUCCGCGUUUGAGUUGGAGGUCGCCGAUGUUGCCGCGUGCGUACUGGAAGGGUUCGCUGAAGCUGUCGCUGGUCACUUGCCCCGUGGCGCUCUAUCCCGCCUCGACGACGGUCGAACGAACCNNCAUGAUCAAUACCGAGACAGGAAACCGGCUGAAGCAGCAGAUGGUCGAUUCCGAGACCGGU